CGGCGGAAAGAACCCUCCGCGCCGUCUCCUCCGGUUGCUCCGCCAACCACGACUAUUUCCUGUGCAAAUCGCACAGUCACGACUGGAAGGUACAUAGAUUUUUAUUUUUAGAUCAUGAGGUUUUCUCUAUUGGAGAGAGACUCCGAGCCCAAGGGUGGGAGCACGUUUGUACCCUCAAUACCUCGACCUACCCCGGCCUAGUUAGAGAACUUUUUAGCAAUAUGGCCUUAGGGGACCUAGGGUACACUGCAUAUGUCCGGGGGACAUUGGUAGAAGUCAAUGAAGAUGUCCUAUCCACUGUUUUGAAAAUCCCUAAGGACGGUGAGGCUCCAACCUCACAUCCCCAAAGGGAAUUAGUCCUAAAUUUACUUUUAGGAAGAGAGGACUGCGGCCCUCUUGAUGUUGUCAAUUCCCAGGACCUAAAUGCAGAAAUGAGACUUCUCUUAAGUAUUGUCAACCGGGUCCUAUUCCCUAAAACCGGUCGCUUCGAUUUUGUUUCGGAG
rnacentral:lncRNA from 1 species